UCGUAUCGCUUCCUUCCCCAGACUGGCACCCUCCGAAUGUGUUGGGCUGGAGUUCUUAUCAUGCCCCAGCCAUGCUAGUGGAAGUGAUAGGCGUUGUAGUCCAACGCCUAUCGUUGUAGUAAUGGAAGCGCCCAACCCUUCCAUUACUUUGUUUAAGGUCUUUAUGGAUGGAAGGGCAAUCUAGAAGUCAACCGAAGCAAGUCGGUGACGUUUCUCACACAAUCCGGAGUGUUGGAAGAAAAUUUCAUCCAUGAGGGGCAUGCACCUUUCGCACACCAACCCAAUCCAUCCCAGCACUGGCUACAGGAAAAGAGCUCAGGAAAAGACCUCACUACAGUCAUCCCAGCUUGGUUCCUUCCAGAUGUGUUGACUGCAACUCUCAGACCUGCCAUUGUAUGAGGGCAAGAGGGGUUUGUUCCCCCACAACAACAUCUGGAUAAGAGAUGAAAGACACUGUGGAUUGUGAGGAUGACAAAUUGGAGCAGCAAUCAUCCUGUCCUGAAAAACAAUGCAGCUGAUGACUCCAGACUGGUAAAGGGCAGUAUCUGAGUAACCAGUGGUUGUAGUGCAGGAGUUCUUGGUGUCAGGGCCUGGAUUUCUGCAGCAGAGUUUGGAAUUUUUGGAUGGAAGCUGUUUGGGAAUAAGUUAGUCAGGAGAGGUGGACGUAGAACAAACAAUAAGAUAGUUAGCUUAAGUAUCGCGGCUGUGUGGGACAUUUGGGUGUCAGACAUUUUUGACACAGUGUAGGUGGGUGACAUCUCUAACAGCUUGCUAUCAUGAGAGGAGUGAGGUAGUAGUAGCAGCAGAAGGUAUCAUGACAUAGAUAGUCAUAUCAAUGUGAAGAUGAGUGAUGCCAUCACAGGGGUGACUGGUAGGAUGGAGGUGACUAAGCAUAAUAGGGACAAUAGUGACCAUUUCACUACAUGUUGUUAUUGUAGUGGAGAAAACUCCCUGAUGAUGCUGGAGAAGUUUCUUGGUAUCAGAGAGAUCUAGUCCAGUAAACAGGUGACCACUGUGAAGGUAGCCUUAGAGAGUGGUCCCAAAGGGCAGGCAGAUAAGGGCCUGGAAUAGGUCAUCCUCUGGAUUUACUCUCUGAUACUGAACCAGUGCAGUCAAAGGCAAAGCCAAAGCUGAUAUAACAGAAAAGACCUGGAUUUCCAAUAAAAAAGAAUUGGGUGGGAGCUAUUCCAGAACAUUUACAGAGGGGAGAGGUGGAUCUCCCACCUGAAACUGCUUAUAUCUAGAAUGUUCUGAAUGGCAGUCCUAUGUAGGCAUGUUACCCAUGUGUGUGUGUCAUAGAGACCACAAAACAACAAUAUAUUUUACAAUCCCAGUCUCUAGUCUGAUGAAUCACGUUCUGACUUAUUUUUUUUAUCGCCUGCUGAAGAGAUAGAGUAUCAUCUUUGGCAGCAACUGAAUGGUCAAUUACCCAUGUGAACUAUGUGUGAUCAUGCAGAAUGACAAAGCAGCCAUAAAAAUACUUAGUACAUACAAAUAACUUUUAUAAGCCAACUGGCUACAAGGAUAUUUGGGCAGAGAUCCCACCCCCAUAAAAACAAGAUGUGGAGCUGGAUAUGAUCACUAUUACCUAAGGCAUUACUUAAGGAAUUCAGACUGUAGUUUCUCUUAUUUUGAGUCCAGGUUGGCUUCCACCAGAGUCGGGCCUUGUCAAUUGCCAUCACAGAUGAGGAAAAUUCUCCAGUGGGCUGUAUAUGUCUAGCAUCUUCCCUUGCACAAGCAGAUUAACAGUGCAAUCCUACACAAAUUUAGAUGGGAACAUCAUCCAUGCUGGCUGGGGAAUGCUGGAAGUUGGAGGAUUCUUUUUCACUCUAAACUUGCAUAAGACUACACUCUAAGGUUCUUCAUAUUCCAUUAUACCUUUAAUUGCUAGUUAAAAGUAAGUUGCUGUUGCUGUUUCCAGUUUCUAAAAUUGUUUUUGAUUUUUAAAAAGGUUUGCAUACUUGUAUAGUAAAUAAAAUCUUUUAUAGAUUACAUUCCCCUAA